rnacentral:rRNA from 1 species
GAGAGUGGCGCACGGGUGCGUAACGCGUGAGCAACCUACCUCUAUCAGGGGGAUAGCCUCUCGAAAGAGAGAUUAACACCGCAUAAUAUAAUCUACCGGCAUCGGGAUGUUAUUAAAUAUUUAUAGGAUAGAGAUGGGCUCGCGUGACAUUAGCUAGUUGGUAGGGUAACGGCUUACCAAGGCGACGAUGUCUAGGGGCUCUGAGAGGAGAAUCCCCCACACUGGUACUGAGACACGGACCAGACUCCUACGGGAGGCAGCAGUAAGGAAUAUUGGUCAAUGGGCGGAAGCCUGAACCAGCCAUGCCGCGUGCAGGAUGACUGCCCUAUGGGUUGUAAACUGCUUUUGUCCAGGAAUAAACCUAGAUACGUGUAUCUAGCUGAAUGUACUGGAAGAAUAAGGAUCGGCUAACUCCGUGCCAGCAGCCGCGGUAAUACGGAGGAUCCGAGCGUUAUCCGGAUUUAUUGGGUUUAAAGGGUGCGUAGGCGGCCUAUUAAGUCAGGGGUGAAAUACGGUGGCUCAACCAUCGCAGUGCCUUUGAUACUGAUGGGCUUGAAUCCAUUUGAAGUGGGCGGAAUAAGACAAGUAGCGGUGAAAUGCAUAGAUAUGUCUUAGAACUCCGAUUGCGAAGGCAGCUCACUAAGCUGGUAUUGACGCUGAUGCACGAAAGCGUGGGGAUCGAACAGGAUUAGAUACCCUGGUAGUCCACGCCCUAAACGAUGAUAACUCGAUGUUGGCGAUAGACAGCCAGCGUCUUAGCGAAAGCGUUAAGUUAUCCACCUGGGGAGUACGCCCGCAAGGGUGAAACUCAAAGGAAUUGACGGGGGCCCGCACAAGCGGAGGAGCAUGUGGUUUAAUUCGAUGAUACGCGAGGAACCUUACCCGGGCUUGAAAGUUAGUGAAGAGACCAGAGACGGUCUCGUCCUUCGGGACACGAAACUAGGUGCUGCAUGGCUGUCGUCAGCUCGUGCCGUGAGGUGUUGGGUUAAGUCCCGCAACGAGCGCAACCCCUAUGUUUAGUUGCCAGCAUGUAAUGGUGGGGACUCUAAACAGACUGCCUGUGCAAACAGUGAGGAAGGUGGGGACGACGUCAAGUCAUCAUGGCCCUUACGUCCGGGGCUACACACGUGCUACAAUGGAUGGUACAGCGGGCAGCUACAUAGCAAUAUGAUGCUAAUCUCUAAAAGCCAUUCACAGUUCGGAUUGGGGUCUGCAACUCGACCCCAUGAAGUUGGAUUCGCUAGUAAUCGCGUAUCAGCAAUGACGCGGUGAAUACGUUCCCGGGCCUUGUACACACCGCCCGUCAAGCCAUGAAAGUUG